rnacentral:rRNA from 1 species
UACGAAGGGGGCUAGCGUUGCUCGGAAUCACUGGGCGUAAAGCGCACGUAGGCGGCUUUUUAAGUCAGGGGUGAAAUCCUGGAGCUCAACUCCAGAACUGCCUUUGAUACUGGCGGACUCGAGUCCGGGAGAGGUGAGUGGAACUGCGAGUGUAGAGGUGAAAUUCGUAGAUAUUCGCAAGAACACCAGUGGCGAAGGCGGCUCACUGGCCCGGUACUGACGCUGAGGUGCGAAAGCGUGGGGAGCAAACAGG